CAAACUGGAUACCUUGUGUGACUUUGUUCAAAGCUGCAAUCAGCUGCCGUUGAUGUGGUGUCAGCCUAGGGACCAGGGUUGGUGCUUCAACUUCACCCCAGUGAAGCCCCUCUGCAGGCAGUUGCCCUGCCUUCCACCCAACCAGGGAUGCUUCCCCCUCAACAGCUGCUGCUCAGAGUGCCAACACCCCCCAACCGUAUACUCCCACCCACCCUCCAGGAUGCUGCCAUUGAUCUCUCCCUCUGCCGAGGCACUCUGCAGACCUACUUUGUCACUCCCACCCCCAUAGUCCAGCCUCUAAAGCCCCCCAAACCCAAGACUGUUAGGAGCCCUUUGUGUACUGAAUUGGACAUAUAUAGAGUCUUGAUAUAUGGUCAAAGGAGUUAGAAUUGUUGGUGAUCAACAAGAGAGUUUGUUACAGCAUCAGUCCACUGUAUGAGAUGUAUCUGUAGUGUUCUUGUCAGGAUAAAGGACCUUGCUGUCUACAGAUGCAGACAUGGAUGCCUCCCACUCCCUGCAGGUUGGUCUUCAUCUGUCAUGAAGGACCUGGAUGCAUGGGAUUUGGUCCAAAUUUUGCUCUUUGAAAAAAGCCCAAAGCGUCUUUGAAAUAUGAAUACAACCUGUUUCCCCACUCA